GGUUAAGCGACUAAGCGUACACGGUGGAUGCCCUGGCAGUCAGAGGCGAUGAAGGACGUGCUAAUCUGCGAUAAGCGUCGGUAAGGUGAUAUGAACCGUUAUAACCGGCGAUUUCCGAAUGGGGAAACCCAGUGUGUUUCGACACACUAUCAUUAACUGAAUCCAUAGGUUAAUGAGGCGAACCGGGGGAACUGAAACAUCUAAGUACCCCGAGGAAAAGAAAUCAACCGAGAUUCCCCCAGUAGCGGCGAGCGAACGGGGAGGAGCCCAGAGCCUGAAUCAGUGUGUGUGUUAGUGGAAGCGUCUGGAAAGGCGCGCGAUACAGGGUGACAGCCCCGUACACAAAAAUGCACAUAUUGUGAGCUCGAUGAGUAGGGCGGGACACGUGGUAUCCUGUCUGAAUAUGGGGGGACCAUCCUCCAAGGCUAAAUACUCCUGACUGACCGAUAGUGAACCAGUACCGUGAGGGAAAGGCGAAAAGAACCCCGGCGAGGGGAGUGAAAAAGAACCUGAAACCGUGUACGUACAAGCAGUGGGAGCACGCUUAGGCGUGUGACUGCGUACCUUUUGUAUAAUGGGUCAGCGACUUAUAUUCUGUAGCAAGGUUAACCGAAUAGGGGAGCCGAAGGGAAACCGAGUCUUAACUGGGCGUUAAGUUGCAGGGUAUAGACCCGAAACCCGGUGAUCUAGCCAUGGGCAGGUUGAAGGUUGGGUAACACUAACUGGAGGACCGAACCGACUAAUGUUGAAAAAUUAGCGGAUGACUUGUGGCUGGGGGUGAAAGGCCAAUCAAACCGGGAGAUAGCUGGUUCUCCCCGAAAGCUAUUUAGGUAGCGCCUCGUGAAUUCAUCUCCGGGGGUAGAGCACUGUUUCGGCAAGGGGGUCAUCCCGACUUACCAACCCGAUGCAAACUGCGAAUACCGGAGAAUGUUAUCACGGGAGACACACGGCGGGUGCUAACGUCCGUCGUGAAGAGGGAAACAACCCAGACCGCCAGCUAAGGUCCCAAAGUCAUGGUUAAGUGGGAAACGAUGUGGGAAGGCCCAGACAGCCAGGAUGUUGGCUUAGAAGCAGCCAUCAUUUAAAGAAAGCGUAAUAGCUCACUGGUCGAGUCGGCCUGCGCGGAAGAUGUAACGGGGCUAAACCAUGCACCGAAGCUGCGGCAGCGACGCUUAUGCGUUGUUGGGUAGGGGAGCGUUCUGUAAGCCUGCGAAGGUGUGCUGUGAGGCAUGCUGGAGGUAUCAGAAGUGCGAAUGCUGACAUAAGUAACGAUAAAGCGGGUGAAAAGCCCGCUCGCCGGAAGACCAAGGGUUCCUGUCCAACGUUAAUCGGGGCAGGGUGAGUCGACCCCUAAGGCGAGGCCGAAAGGCGUAGUCGAUGGGAAACAGGUUAAUAUUCCUGUACUUGGUGUUACUGCGAAGGGGGGACGGAGAAGGCUAUGUUGGCCGGGCGACGGUUGUCCCGGUUUAAGCGUGUAGGCUGGUUUUCCAGGCAAAUCCGGAAAAUCAAGGCUGAGGCGUGAUGACGAGGCACUACGGUGCUGAAGCAACAAAUGCCCUGCUUCCAGGAAAAGCCUCUAAGCAUCAGGUAACAUCAAAUCGUACCCCAAACCGACACAGGUGGUCAGGUAGAGAAUACCAAGGCGCUUGAGAGAACUCGGGUGAAGGAACUAGGCAAAAUGGUGCCGUAACUUCGGGAGAAGGCACGCUGAUAUGUAGGUGAAGUCCCUCGCGGAUGGAGCUGAAAUCAGUCGAAGAUACCAGCUGGCUGCAACUGUUUAUUAAAAACACAGCACUGUGCAAACACGAAAGUGGACGUAUACGGUGUGACGCCUGCCCGGUGCCGGAAGGUUAAUUGAUGGGGUUAGCGCAAGCGAAGCUCUUGAUCGAAGCCCCGGUAAACGGCGGCCGUAACUAUAACGGUCCUAAGGUAGCGAAAUUCCUUGUCGGGUAAGUUCCGACCUGCACGAAUGGCGUAAUGAUGGCCAGGCUGUCUCCACCCGAGACUCAGUGAAAUUGAACUCGCUGUGAAGAUGCAGUGUACCCGCGGCAAGACGGAAAGACCCCGUGAACCUUUACUAUAGCUUGACACUGAACAUUGAGCCUUGAUGUGUAGGAUAGGUGGGAGGCUUUGAAGUGUGGACGCCAGUCUGCAUGGAGCCGACCUUGAAAUACCACCCUUUAAUGUUUGAUGUUCUAACGUUGACCCGUAAUCCGGGUUGCGGACAGUGUCUGGUGGGUAGUUUGACUGGGGCGGUCUCCUCCUAAAGAGUAACGGAGGAGCACGAAGGUUGGCUAAUCCUGGUCGGACAUCAGGAGGUUAGUGCAAUGGCAUAAGCCAGCUUGACUGCGAGCGUGACGGCGCGAGCAGGUGCGAAAGCAGGUCAUAGUGAUCCGGUGGUUCUGAAUGGAAGGGCCAUCGCUCAACGGAUAAAAGGUACUCCGGGGAUAACAGGCUGAUACCGCCCAAGAGUUCAUAUCGACGGCGGUGUUUGGCACCUCGAUGUCGGCUCAUCACAUCCUGGGGCUGAAGUAGGUCCCAAGGGUAUGGCUGUUCGCCAUUUAAAGUGGUACGCGAGCUGGGUUUAGAACGUCGUGAGACAGUUCGGUCCCUAUCUGCCGUGGGCGCUGGAGAACUGAGGGGGGCUGCUCCUAGUACGAGAGGACCGGAGUGGACGCAUCACUGGUGUUCGGGUUGUCAUGCCAAUGGCACUGCCCGGUAGCUAAAUGCGGAAGAGAUAAGUGCUGAAAGCAUCUAAGCACGAAACUUGCCCCGAGAUGAGUUCUCCCUGACUCCUUGAGAGUCCUGAAGGAACGUUGAAGACGACGACGUUGAUAGGCCGGGUGUGUAAGCGCAGCGAUGCGUUGAGCUAACCGGUACUAAUGAACCGUGAGGCUUAACCUU
rnacentral:rRNA from 1 species